rnacentral:rRNA from 1 species
CAAGUACAGUCAUCGAACAGCCAUUUCCUGCUGCCCUUAUUCUUCCUUGCUGAAAGAGCUUUACAACCCGAAGGCCUUCAUCACUCACGCGGGAUUGCUCCGUCAGGCUUUCGCCCAUUGCGGAAUAUUCUUA